rnacentral:rRNA from 1 species
GGGGGGUCUCUCCCCCUCUUUUCACACAAAMACAAAGUUAGUUAUAUGCAUAUGUUGAUUACUCUACGGAGUUAAAUAUAAUAACUUUCAACAACGGAUCUCUUGGCUUUCGCAUCGAUGAAGAACGCAGCGAAUGUGCGAAACGUAAUGUGAAUUGCAGAAUUCAGUGAAUCAUCGAAUCUUUGAACGCAUCUUGCGCUCCUUGGUAUUCCGAGGAGCAUGCCUGUUUGAGUGUCGUGAAUACUCCUCAAUUUCAAUYKUUUUGUUUGAAAUUGGAUUUGGAUGUUGUUGUUAUCAUUUGACGACUCGUCCUAAAUGCAUUAGCGAUCUGGCUUGACCACACACAAUGUGAUAAAUAAACUAGCAUUGUUACAAUCAAGUCAAGACUGCUUCUAACCGUCGACAGACAACGCAUAUAUCUAAUAUAUGCAUGUCAUUUGACCUCAAAUCAGGUAGGACUACC